rnacentral:rRNA from 1 species
AUGGCGGCGGCGUCCCAUCUGGACGGAGGCACGAAGCGGCGGCGGAAGGAGGAGGAAGUAGAAGCAGGCGUGGAGGCGGCAGAGGACCUCAUCUCGGAGCUGCCGGAGGCGCUGCGGCUGCACGUCCUCUGUCUGCUCCCGCUCAAAUCCGCCAUCCGCACGGGCGCGCUCUCCACCCGGUGGUGCUCCCUCUGGACGCACCGCUGGCCGGCGCCCUCCUCCCUCGACUUCCGCCUCGGCAUCGGCGACUCCCCGCACCCUCUCCUCGAAACCCUAGAGCGGCGCGGGCGGCGGCGCCUCCAGCGGUUCGCCCUCUCCUUCGGCAUCGGCGCGUUCAAGGCCGAGCACUUCCGCCGCUGCCUCGACCUCGCCGUCGCCUGCGCCGUCGAGGACCUGCACGUCCACCGCGUGCACCACUUCUUCGCCCGCUUCUACAAGUUCCGGCUCCCGCUGGGGGACCCCCACCUCGCCCGCCUCUCGUUCCGCUACAUCAGCGUCGACCUCCCCGACUCCUUCUCCGCCCGCUCCCACCCCUUCACCGCCCUCGAGGUCAUCCACCUCCGCUGCGUCCACAUCUCCAACGACACAGUCAGCAGCCUGGUCGCCGCGUGCCCCCUCCUCCACACCCUCGAUUUGCGCUACUGCGAAGGCCUCGACUCCGUGAGCGUCGCGGCGGCCGGGGCGCACCUGAGGAGCCUCACCGUUGCAGAGUGCGAUCCGUGCAUCGAUGUUCUUUUUGCCGACGAGGCAUCCGGUCUGUGCUCAUUCCGCUACAGCGGCGCCUACAUGCCCGCCUACAGCAUCCCGGCCACCAUCACUAGUCUUGCUGAACUUUACAUCUGCUUCGGAGCAUCUAACCGCCGGCGACGCUUGUCAGGCACCAGAAUCCGGUUUUAUGGACAGGAGGCUCACGCUUGCGAGCUGCGCAGAAACUAG